GGAUGAAGAACGUAGCGAAAUGCGAUAAGGAGGGUGAAUUGCAGAAUUCAGUGAAUCAUCGAAUCUUUGAACGCACAUUGCGCCCCUUGGUAUCCCGAGGGGCAUGCCUGUUCGAGCGUCAUUUCACCACUCAAGCCUGGCUUGGUGUUGGGCGACGUCCUCUUUGGGGACGCGCCUCGAAACGCUCGGCGGCGUGGCACCGGCUUUAAGCGUAGCAGAAUCUUUCGCUUUGGAAGUCGGGGCCCCGUCUGCCGGAAGACCUGCUCGCAAGGUUGACCUCGGAUCAGGCAGGGAUACCCGCUGAACUUAAGCAUAUCAAUAAGCGGAGGA
rnacentral:misc_RNA from 1 species